UACAGAGGGUGCAAGCGUUGUUCGGAAUCACUGGGCGUAAAGGGCGUGUAGGCGGGAGAGAAAGUCGGGCGUGAAAUCCCUAGGCUCAACCUAGGAACUGCACUCGAAACUUCUUUUCUUGAGUGCCGGAGAGGAAAGCGGAAUACCUGGUGUAGAGGUGAAAUUCGUAGAUAUCAGGUGGAACACCAGUGGCGAAGGCGGCUUUCUGGACGGUAACUGACGCUGAGACGCGAAAGCGUGGGGAGCAAACAGG
rnacentral:rRNA from 1 species